CCAGGAGCACCGCUGGGUAGCUAUGUACGGACGGGAUAAGCGCUGAAAGCAUCUAAGCGUGAAGCCCCCCUCAAGAUGAGAUUUCCCAGUAUGUAAGACCCCUUGAAGACGACGAGGUAGAUAGGCUGGGGGUGGAAGUGCAGCAAUGCAUGGAGCUGACCAGUACUAAUCGGUCGAGGGCUUAUCCAA
rnacentral:rRNA from 1 species